rnacentral:rRNA from 1 species
ACCGUUCGGGUCGUAACUCCUUUCGAUCGAGACGAAUUGUUUUUCGGCUGAAUAAUCCGGAAAGUGACGGUACCGAGAGAAGAAGCCCCGGCUAACUCUGUGC